AAGUGUACACUAGUAUAAAUACGUAAAUGCCCCCUCGACAUAACCUAAAUUCAAAAAAAUUAUUUGAUACAAUAGCAUCCAAAUAGAUUAAUAAUUUGUCGUUUAUUUUUUUUAUUACUUGAAAAAAAUUGAUAUCGUUUAAAAAAAACUCGAACCAACGGUAAAAGGUGAUGGGUGGAGUCUCUCUCGUACCAUUGUACCGCCUUUAACAAAUACUUGAAACCAGGGUAUAAGGAAAAGCUUGACUAUAGUUUCGAGCGACAGCUGCCACGUGCCUGAGUUACUUUUCUGGAUCAUGUUCGCCUGCGAUCGCAAGACUUGCGUGUGACCCGGCCUGGGGACAUGGGCACGUCCUUAACGAAGGUCAAUGACCUCCGUUAGACUGUAGAAAUAUAUUACACUUGGCACUGAAGCUCAAUGUGAUAGUGGUACACUGCAAAAAUAUAUAUAUAUAUAUAUAUAUAUAUAUACAUACAACACCGAGAGAGGCAAAUGUAUUACCGUACUGGGGAAAGCAGGCCAUGUGAAUUUAUAGCAAUUUUUAAUUUAAAAAAGAGAGAAUUUUUUAUUUCUUUUGAAUAAAAUUUAUUUUUAA